CACAGCCAGGGGGAGUCAGGGAGGCAGCAGCUCUGGGACUCGCAGACCCCCCGCCCCCCGGGAGCAGAGUUGGGGCGAGGAGGGGCCGGUGGUGCAGAGUCACUUUCCUGCCCGGCCCCAGCCCUUCCCCCGGGUCUCUC